GCGGGCGUGCCGGAAUGGUAGACGGAAGCGACUUAAAAUCGCUCGGCCUCUGCGCCUUGCGGGUUCGAGUCCCGCCGCCCGUA
rnacentral:tRNA from 1 species